rnacentral:rRNA from 1 species
CAAGUCGAGGGGCAGCAUGGUUGUAGCAAUACAACUGAUGGCGACCGGCAAACGGGUGCGGAACACGUACGCAAUCUACCCAAAACUGAUGAAUAGCCCUCCGAAAGGAGGAUUAAUACAUCGUAACUUAAGGAAGUGGCAUCACUAUCUUAAUAUAGCUCCGGCGGUUUUGGAUGAGCGUGCGCCUGAUUAGGUAGUUGGCGGGGUAACGGCCCACCAAGCCUGCGAUCAGUAACUGGUGUGAGAGCACGACCAGUCACACGGGCACUGGGACACGGGCCCGACUCCUACGGGAGGCAGCAGUAAGGAAUAUUGGUCAAUGGACGCAAGUCUGAACCAGCCAUGCCGCGUGAAGGAUGAAGGUCCUCUGGAUUGUAAACUUCUUUUAUAGGGGAAGAAACCCGGAAAUUCUUUUCCGGUUGACGGUACCCUGGGAAUAAGCACCGGCUAACUCCGUGCCAGCAGCCGCGGUAAUACGGAGGGUGCAAGCGUUAUCCGGAUUCACUGGGUUUAAAGGGAGCGUAGGAGGGCAGGUAAGUCAGUGGUGAAAUCUUCGAGCUUAACUCGGAAACUGCCGUUGAUACUAUCUGUCUUGAAUACCGUGGAGAUGAGCGGAAUAUGUCAUGUAGCGGUGAAAUGCUUAGAUAUGACAUAGAACACCAAUUGCGAAGGCAGCUCGUUACACGAAUAUUGACUCUGAGGCUCGAAAGCGUGGGGAUCAAACAGGAUUAGAUACCCUGGUAGUCCACGCCCUAAACGAUGGAUACUCGACAUACGCGAUACACUGUGUGUGUCUGAGCGAAAGCAUUAAGUAUCCCACCUGGGAAGUACGACCGCAAGGUUGAAACUCAAAGGAAUUGGCGGGGGUCCGCACAAGCGGUGGA